GACGAACGCUGGCGGCGUGGAUUGGGCAUGCAAGUCGAACGGUAGGAUACCUUCGGGUAUCUGAGAGUGGCGAACGGGUGAGUAACACGUAGGUGAUCUACCCUCAAGAUUGGGACAACCCAGGGAAACUUGGGCUAAUACCGGAUGAAAGCAGCAGUGAUGUUGUUUGAAAGGUGGCGUAAGCUGCCGUUUGGGGAUGAGCCUGCGCUCUAUUAGUUAGUUGGCGGGGUAAAGGCCCACCAAGGCGAUGAUAGAUAGGCGGCCUUAACGGGUGGUCGCCCACACUGGGAUUGAGAUACGGCCCAGACUCCUACGGGAGGCAGCAGUCGAGAAUAGUCUACAAUGGCCGAAAGGCUGAUAGUGCGACGCCGCGUGAACGAAGAAGCCCUUCGGGUGUAAAGUUCUUUUAUAUGUGAGCAGUGCUUUCUAUGUGAACAGCAUGGGGAGAGAGAUAUUAGCAUAUGAAUAAGCAACGGCUAACUCCGUGCCAGC
rnacentral:rRNA from 1 species